UUGCUCACUUUGGCAGCAACUACACUAAACUUGGAACAAUACAGAGAUUAGCAUGGCCACUGUACAAGAAUCAUACGCAAAUUUGUUAAGCAGUCCAUAUUUUU